ACAUAUAAAUACAUACAUACAUAUAUAUAUGUGUGUGUUUGUGUGUGUGUUGAGAGAGAGAGAGAGAGAGAGAGAGAGCACAAAUAGAAAGAGCUAGAGAUCGUAUCAGAUGGAAAGUGUAGAUGGGUGAAAUUACUUGCAGGUGUGGUUUUAAGUUUUUCGAUUGACUUGAAGAUAGAGGCACGUUAGAUUUAUUAGUGGCCUGGUCUAUUUCGAUGUAUUUGUCAGUAAUUAUACCUAUUUGCUCUCUCUUUUCCUCUCUCAUUAUUGAAUCUAUAGCUCUGGCCAUUUGCUGUCUGUUUCUCUCUCUCUCUCUCUCCCUCGUCCUCUCUUUCUCUCGAUGUGAUUUAGGAAAAAAAAAAAUUGGUCAUCAAAUUUUGCCUCGAUAAUGCAAAAGGUGGAUGGAUUCUUUCCAUCCUAUGUACUUGGUCUAUUGUGAUCAACUUAGGGUUGCAGAUCUUGACUUCUAACUCUUUCGAUCUAUAACCCAUGGAGAACUCGUGUUUCUAUUGUGAUAUUAUGUUAGAAGAAAUGUUUUCUAGAAGCCUUUUGAAACCUAAUUCAUAAGUUGAAGGACUUAAUAAGUUCUUUAUACAUGCAAUGGACAAAAUAAGAUGAUGAGUUAAUGGUGAAUGACGGAAAAGGUCAUUUGCCGUAGAAAAUUCUCUCAGAUUAUUGAUAACAAGAAAAGAAACAAAAUCUGGGGAUGAAAAUAGCUAGUUUGAAGUCUCUAGAUCCAUGAACGGAUAUAAUAUCAGAAAUCAGGAUGAGAAACUUUAUUUUAAAAUUCUUCACUGAGUAAUAUUGCGUGCAAUGAUUUAAUUGCGUUAGUGCCACAAGUACAGCUACCAGAAGAUUAUCAGGAAUAUAUGUCCAAGCGAAAAAAUGGCUCUACAAGCACAUGUCAGAAACUGAUCAGCAUAUUCCGGUAAAGCUUUUUCCAUUGUUUUGCCUUGCCAUUGUUUCAUAUACAUGCAAGCAGUAGCAACAGCAUCUUUUUUGCUUCUGUGAUUAAGUGAGUAUAUUUAAAUAUGUUCAUGGAGAAAGUUUUGUGUUUAGAAAAUUCUUCUUUUUCUUUUUUUUUUUUUAUCUUUUCCUUUCCCUUGACUGGAUAUACGUGCUUUUGGCAUCUCCUCUCCACUAAAGAGUUAAUUUCUUGUGCUGUUGUGCUAUAUCUGUUUACCAUUUGUGACGUUUAUCUUGUUUUGUUUUUAGGGAUGAAUGGUAUCUAGUUGAGUUUUAUGCUCCAUUUUCACAUGCGAAGUAACCUUUUGCAUUUUCUUUGAAUAGCGGGUAUUAAGUGUUUAACUGUGUGCUGGUAUCAAAUAUUAGUUACAUGAGCCUAUGAAUUGCGUUCAAAAUCCAAAAUAAGCAUUUUCAUGGCAUUCACUUUCUUGAUUUCUCGGAAUGGCAGCCAAGAUCCUUUGAACAGGGUAUUGAAUAGCUGUAAUGUCUUACAUUCACUUGAUUCUUGAUUCUGGGAAUCUCAUUCAAGAUCAUGGAAUUUUGAAGAAGAGAUUGCAAUUCUGAGAAAAAAGAAAGUUGAGCUUCAUAAAGAAACUAAAGUUUUAAGUUUUAAGCACAACUCAUUCCUUAUCGUACAACAACACGAAUUUCGUACAGUUUUUGGAGAUGAAAAACAGCAUAAUUUUGUAUGUUGCAGAAAGUUCUUGGGAGAUGGUUUAGAUUCCUCCUCUGUUGAUGAACUGCAACAGAUAGGUGGUCAACUGGAGAAAAGUUUAAGCAUCAUUAGGUCAAGAAAGUUACGUGUUGCAAUAGGCAUCUCUAAAAUGAUUUGAUCAGAAUGUAGAAUUUGAUGGUCAAAAUCGAAUGUUCAAUUCUCCUGCGGAGCCAAUUAUUUUGGGAGCGCAUUCAUUAGCUGAAAAAAGAGGUAAAAUACGCAUUUGAAAAUUCAGAAGUUGCUUAUUCAUUCGUUUGCAUUUUCAUAAAGAAUAAAGUUUGUGCAUUUCAUGUGAA